AAGAGACAGCAGCAGCCGCGGUAAUACGGAGGGUGCAAGCGUUAAUCGGAAUUACUGGGCGUAAAGCGCACGCAGGCGGUCUGUCAAGUCAGAUGUGAAAUCCCCGGGCUUAACCUGGGAACUGCAUUUGAAACUGGCAGGCUAGAGUCUUGUAGAGGGGGGUAGAAUUCCAGGUGUAGCGGUGAAAUGCGUAGAGAUCUGGAGGAAUACCGGUGGCGAAGGCGGCCCCCUGGACAAAGACUGACGCUCAGGUGCGAAAGCGUGGGGAGCAAACAGGAUUAGAUACCCUGUAGUCCCUGUCUCUUAUACC
rnacentral:rRNA from 1 species